GCGUGAGGGAGGAGGCUCUUGGGUCGUAAACCUCUUUUCUCAGGGAAGAACACAAUGACGGUACCUGAGGAAUAAACAUCGGCUAACUCCGUGCCAGCAGCCGCGGUAAUACGGAGGAUGCAAGCGUUAUCCGGAAUGAUUGGGCGUAAAGCGUCCGCAGGUGGCAAUGUAAGUCUGCUGUUAAAGAGUGAGGCUCAACCUCAUAAGAGCAGUGGAAACUACAUAGCUAGAGUACGUUCGGGGCAGAGGGAAUUCCUGGUGUAGCGGUGAAAUGCGUAGAGAUCAGGAAGAACACCGGUGGCGAAGGCGCUCUGCUAGGCCGUAACUGACACUGAGGGACGAAAGCUAGGGGAGCGAAUGGGAUUAGAUACCCCAGUAGUCCUAGCCGUAAACGAUGGAUACUAGGCGUGGCUUGUAUCGACCCGAGCCGUGCCGUAGCUAACGCGUUAAGUAUCCCGCCUGGGGAGUACGCCGGCAACGGUGAAACUCAAAGGAAUUGACGGGGGCCCGCACAAGCGGUGGAGUAUGUGGUUUAAUUCGAUGCAACGCGAAGAACCUUACCAAGGCUUGACAUGUCGCGAAUCUCGGUGAAAGCUGAGAGUGCCUUCGGGAGCGCGAACACAGGUGGUGCAUGGCUGUCGUCAGCUCGUGUCGUGAGAUGUUGGGUUAAGUCCCGCAACGAGCGCAACCCUCGUUUUUAGUUGCCAGCAUUAAGUUGGGCACUCUAGAGAGACUGCCGGUGACAAACCGGAGGAAGGUGGGGAUGACGUCAAGUCAGCAUGCCCCUUACGCCUUGGGCUACACACGUACUACAAUGCUACGGACAAAGGGCAGCUACACAGCGAUGUGAUGCAAAUCUCGUAAACCGUAGCUCAGUUCAGAUCGCAGGCUGCAACUCGCCUGCGUGAAGGAGGAAUCGCUAGUAAUUGCAGGUCAGCAUACUGCAGUGAAUUCGUUCCCGGGCCUUGUACACACCGCCCGUCACACCAUGGAAGCUGGUAGUGCCCGAAGUCAUUACUCCAACCCUUCGGGGAGGAGGAUGCCUAAGGCAGGACUGGUGACUGGGGUGAAGUCGUAACAAGGUAGCCGUACCGGAAGGUGUGGCUGGAUCACCUCCU
rnacentral:rRNA from 1 species